rnacentral:rRNA from 1 species
AAGUCUGACGGAGCAACGCCGCGUGAACGAAGAAGGUCUUCGGAUUGUAAAGUUCUGUGAUUCGGGACGAAAGGGUUUGUGGUGAAUAAUCAUAGACAUUGACGGUACCGAAAAAGCAAGCCACGGCUAACUACGUGCCAGCAGCCGCGGUAAUACGUAGGUGGCAAGCGUUGUCCGGAAUUAUUGGGCGUAAAGCGCGCGCAGGCGGUUUCUUAAGUCCAUCUUAAAAGCGUGGGGCUCAACCCCAUGAGGGGAUGGAAACUGGGAAGCUGGAGUAUCGGAGAGGAAAGUGGAAUUCCUAGUGUAGCGGUGAAAUGCGUAGAGAUUAGGAAGAACACCGGUGGCGAAGGCGACUUUCUAGACGAAAACUGACGCUGAGGCGCGAAAGCGUGGGGAGCAAACAGGAUUAGAUACCCUGGUAGU